rnacentral:rRNA from 1 species
GACGAACGCUGGCGGCGUGCUUAACACAUGCAAGUCGAGCGGUAAGGCUCCUUCGGGAGUACACGAGCGGCGAACGGGUGAGUAACACGUGAGCAACCUGCCCUUCUCAUCGGAAUAAGCGUUGGAAACGACGUCUAAUGCCGAAUAUGACUUCCUUUUGCAUGAUUGGAAGUGGAAAGCUCCGGCGGAGAAGGAUGGGCUCGCGGCCUACCAGCUGGUUGGUGUGGGUACCGGCCCACCAAGGCGACGACGGGUAGCCGGCGUGAGAGGGUGACCGGCCACACUGGGACUGAGCCACGGCCCAGACUCCUACGGGAGGCAGCAGUGGGGAAUAUUGGACAAUGGGCGAAAGCCUGAUCCAGCAACGCCGCGUGAGGGAUGACGGCCUUCGGGUUGUAAACCUCUUUCAGCGGGGACGAAGCGAAAGUGACGGUACCCGCAGAAGAAGGACCGGCCAACUACGUGCCAGCAGCCGCUGUAAGAC